GAUGAACGCUGGCGGCGUGCCUAAUACAUGCAAGUCGAGCGAACAGACGAGGAGCUUGCUCCUCUGACGUUAGCGGCGGACGGGUGAGUAACACGUGGAUAACCUACCUAUAAGACUGGGAUAACUUCGGGAAACCGGAGCUAAUACCGGAUAAUAUAUUGAACCGCAAGGUUCAAUAGUGAAAGACGGUUUUGCUGUCACUUAUAGAUGGAUCCGCGCCGCAUUAGCUAGUUGGUAAGGUAACGGCUUACCAAGGCGACGAUGCGUAGCCGACCUGAGAGGGUGAUCGGCCACACUGGAACUGAGACACGGUCCAGACUCCUACGGGAGGCAGCAGUAGGGAAUCUUCCGCAAUGGGCGAAAGCCUGACGGAGCAACGCCGCGUGAGUGAUGAAGGUCUUCGGAUCGUAAAACUCUGUUAUUAGGGAAGAACAAAUGUGUAAGUAACUAUGCACGUCUUGACGGUACCUAAUCAGAAAGCCACGGCUAACUACGUG
rnacentral:rRNA from 1 species